AUUGAACGCUAACGGCGUGCUUAACACAUGCAAGUCGAGCGGCAGCAUGACUGUAGCAAUACAGUUGAUGGCGAGCGGCGGACGGGUGAGUAAUGCGUAGGAAUCUGGCUUGUAGUGGGGGAUAACCCGGGGAAACUCGGGCUAAUACCGCAUAAUCUCCACGGAGGAAAGUGGGGGCUAGUAAGACCUCACGCUAAAAGAUGAGCCUAUGUUGGAUUAGCUAGUUGGUGAGGUAAGGGCUCACCAAGGCGACGAUCCAUAGCUGGUCUGAGAGGAUGAUCAGCCACACUGGGACUGAGACACGGCCCAGACUCCUACGGGAGGCAGCAGUGGGGAAUAUUGGACAAUGGGCGAAAGCCUGAUCCAGCAACGCCGUGUGUGUGAAGAAGGCCUUCGGGUUGUAAAGCACUUUUAGUUGGGAAGAAAAGCUCAUGGGUAAUAUCCAUGAGUGCUGACGUUACCAACAGAAAAAGCACUGGCUAACUCUGUGCCAGCAGCCGCCGUAA
rnacentral:rRNA from 1 species